rnacentral:lncRNA from 1 species
AUGCUGCUGAAGAUUAAUCUGGAGGAGAGCGCUUCCAGGAGCGUCCUGCCUCCCACUCAGAGCGGCCCGGUCUGCGGCCGGCCCACAGAGCUCGCUACAGAUCUGUCUACAGGACUCCUGACGUUUGCACAGUUUGGGCAAAACGAUCUUCCGGAUACAAAGGCUCCGCCUCCGGCCGAGGACGACCACGCUCGGAGCGAAGGGCUCGACAGCGACCACUUCAGCGGCAGCAACUCCAGCUUCCUGGCCAACGAGAAGCUCAUGUGUGCCGACAGCAUGAGCAGCGACCUCACCGAUGACGACAUCGACUUGAACAACCUGCCGGACGACGAGCUGGAGCUGUACUUCAACAAGCUGGUGCCCCCCGCCAUGCAGAGGGGCCGGGUGGAGGGCCAGGAGAUCCCCACCGUGAGACCGCCUCAUUCAUACUGCAUCAAUACGCUCGCAUGCGACGGGACGGGAAAGACGUUUCUUUGAGUUCCUCGUUAACGAAGCCUGUCUUGAACAGGGA